rnacentral:rRNA from 1 species
GACGGAGGGGGCUAGCGUUGUUCGGAAUGACUGGGCGUAAAGGGCGCGUAGGCGGCUUAUCAAGUCAGGUGUGAAAGCCUUGGGCUUAACCCAAGAACUGCGCUUGAUACUGAUAGGCUUGAGGAUGAUAGAGGAAAGCGGAAUUCCUAGUGUAGAGGUGAAAUUCGUAGAUAUUAGGAAGAACACCAGAGGCGAAGGCGGCUUUCUGGAUCAUAUCUGACGCUGAGGCGCGAAAGCGUGGGGAGCAAAC